CCAAUCAAAGCAAUUUUCUUCAUAAAUUCAAGAAUCAUUCAUCCAUAAUAAUAAUCUUCUAUUAUUCUUCUAAUUUCAAAGAUUGAAUUACUAGUGUGUGGUGGUAGUGAAAGGGGUCCAAUUCAAGAAGGAAAAAAGGGAAGAGAUUAGAAAGUGUGAUUUCAAUUUCUCAAGAGUGUUUAUCUUAAUUAAUCAAAUCCUUCCUAAAUAACAAUAAUAAUCAUCCUAAAUUGAAAAGUUAGGGAUUUUGUAUGUGGUGGUGGUGGCCGAAAUUAGGGAAGAAAUUGUGAUUUGGAAACCUAAAUCUUUAUCUUUCAUUCUUGAGGUUGAAAACUUUGCACUUGUUGUGGCUUUCUUGUUUGUUGUUAGUCGCGGAGGAGGUAGUUCCGGAAGAAGGAACUAGUUGUUGAUUUAAAGCUUGAAG